rnacentral:rRNA from 1 species
GACGAACGCUGGCGGCGUGCUCAACACAUGCAAGUCGAACGGAAAGGCCCUGCUUUUGUGGGGUGCUCGAGUGGCGAACGGGUGAGUAACACGUGAGUAACCUGCCCUUGACUUUGGGAUAACUUCAGGAAACUGGGGCUAAUACCGGAUAGGAGCUCCUGCUGCAUGUGGGGGUUGGAAAGUUUCGGCGGUUGGGGAUGGACUCGCGGCUUAUCAGCUUGUUGGUGGGGUAGUGGCUUACCAAGGCUUUGACGGGUAGCCGGCCUGAGAGGGUGACCGGCCACAUUGGGACUGAGAUACGGCCCAGACUCCUACGGGAGGCAGCAGUGGGGAAUAUUGCACAAUGGGCGGAAGCCUGAUGCAGCAACGCCGCGUGCGGGAUGACGGCCUUCGGGUUGUAAACCGCUUUCGCCUGUGACGAAGCGUGAGUGACGGUAAUGGGUAAAGAAGCACCGGCUAACUACGUG